rnacentral:rRNA from 1 species
AAUCAACGCUGGCGGCGUGCCUCAGACAUGCAAGUCGAACGCGAAAGUUCCCUUCGGGGGCGAGUAGAGUGGCGCACGGGUGAGUAACACGUAGGUAAUCUACCUUUGGGUUGGGGAAUAACAGCCGGAAACGGCUGCUAAUACCGCAUAAUGCAGCGGCUCGACAUCGAGACAGUUGUUAAAGCGGGGGAUCGCAAGACCUCGCGCCUAAAGAGGAGCCUGCGGCGGAUUAGCUUGUUGGUGAGGUAAUGGCUCACCAAGGCAUCGAUCCGUAGCCGGCCCUGAGA